GACGAACGCUGGCGGCGUGCCUAAUACAUGCAAGUUGAGCGCUGAAGGUUGGUACUUGUACCAACUGGAUGAGCAGCGAACGGGUGAGUAACGCGUGGGGAAUCUGCCUUUGAGCGGGGGACAACAUUUGGAAACGAAUGCUAAUACCGCAUAAAAACUUUAAACACAAGUUUUAAGUUUGAAAGAUGCAAUUGCAUCACUCAAAGAUGAUCCCGCGUUGUAUUAGCUAGUUGGUGAGGUAAAGGCGCACCAAGGCGAUGAUACAUAGCCGACCUGAGAGGGUGAUCGGCCACAUUGGGACUGAGACACGGCACAAACUCCUACGGGAGGCAGCAGUAGGGAAUCUUCGGCAAUGGACGAAAGUCUGACCGAGCAACGCCGCGUGAGUGAAGAAGGUUUUCGGAUCGCAAAACACUGUUGGUAGAGAAGAACGUUGGUGAGAGUGGAAAGCUCAUCAAGUGACGGUAACUACCCAGAAAGGGACGGCUAACUACGUG
rnacentral:rRNA from 1 species